AGAAACAAUUGAUAAAACUUGGAAGAAAUUUCCAAUCAUCUUUGAUGGGAGAAUGAAGGUUAAGGAAUCUGAAGAACACUGGACAAAUGAUACAUCUAAAGAAAAAGGACAAAUCAUCCAGAAUGCAUGUCCCCAAAAAAGAGAUCCCCUAAAGAUGCCAUCACCCCCAGACAGCAGGAAGUAAGAACAUGACAUCCACAUUC